rnacentral:sRNA from 1 species
ACCGGCUUUGAAGUGUCUGUGGCUAUAGAUUCCAUUGCAAAGGAUCCGGCGGAGACAGUUAAACUUGAAGGCAUAGGUAGCGACGACGAAGAAAUGUCCAUUGAAGUGCUUGAGUAUAAUGAAAACGACUAUUUCGAAGAUGGAGCUAAGACCCCCGAAGAAGUCGAGGUAUAUGAACAAGAAGAACAAGACGCGGAUACCCAACGUAAGAGAGACGCGCCAAGCCAGACAGCGGGC